rnacentral:rRNA from 1 species
CCUAACACAUGCAGGUCGAGCGGAUGAGUGGAGCUUGCUCCAUGAUUCAGCGGCGGACGGGUGAGUAAUGCCUAGGAAUCUGCCUGGUAGUGGGGGACAACGUUUCGAAAGGAACGCUAAUACCGCAUACGUCCUACGGGAGAAAGUGGGGGAUCUUCGGACCUCACGCUAUCAGAUGAGCCUAGGUCGGAUUAGCUAGUUGGUGAGGUAAAGGCUCACCAAGGCGACGAUCCGUAACUGGUCUGAGAGGAUGAUCAGUCACACUGGAACUGAGACACGGUCCAGACUCCUACGGGAGGCAGCAGUGGGGAAUAUUGGACAAUGGGCGAAAGCCUGAUCCAGCCAUGCCGCGUGUGUGAAGAAGGUCUUCGGAUUGUAAAGCACUUUAAGUUGGGAGGAAGGGCAGUAAGUUAAUACCUUGCUGUUUUGACGUUACCAACCGAAUAAGCACCGGCUAACUUCGUG